GGGUUGUGAGGUUAAGCGACUAAGCGUACACGGUGGAUGCCCUGGCAGUCAGAGGCGAUGAAGGGCGUGCUAAUCUGCGAUAAGCGCCGGUAAGGUGAUAUGAACCGUUAUAACCGGCGAUACCCGAAUGGGGAAACCCAGUGUGAUUCGUCACACUAUCAUUAACUGAAUCCAUAGGUUAAUGAGGCGAACCGGGGGAACUGAAACAUCUAAGUACCCCGAGGAAAAGAAAUCAACCGAGAUUCCCCCAGUAGCGGCGAGCGAACGGGGAGGAGCCCAGAGCCUGAAUCAGCAUGUGUGUUAGUGGAAGCGUCUGGAAAGGCGCGCGAUACAGGGUGACAGCCCCGUACACAAAAGCGCAUGUGCUGUGAGCUCGAUGAGUAGGGCGGGACACGUGGUAUCCUGUCUGAAUAUGGGGGGACCAUCCUCCAAGGCUAAAUACUCCUGACUGACCGAUAGUGAACCAGUACCGUGAGGGAAAGGCGAAAAGAACCCCGGCGAGGGGAGUGAAAAAGAACCUGAAACCGUGUACGUACAAGCAGUGGGAGCACAGGUUUACCUGUGUGACUGCGUACCUUUUGUAUAAUGGGUCAGCGACUUAUAUUCUGUAGCAAGGUUAACCGUAUAGGGGAGCCGGAGGGAAACCGAGUCUUAAUUGGGCGUUAAGUUGCAGGGUAUAGACCCGAAACCCGGUGAUCUAGCCAUGGGCAGGUUGAAGGUUGGGUAACACUAACUGGAGGACCGAACCGACUAAUGUUGAAAAAUUAGCGGAUGACCUGUGGCUGGGGGUGAAAGGCCAAUCAAACCGGGAGAUAGCUGGUUCUCCCCGAAAGCUAUUUAGGUAGCGCCUCGUGAAUUCAUCUCCGGGGGUAGAGCACUGUUUCGGCUAGGGGGCCAUCCCGGCUUACCAACCCGAUGCAAACUGCGAAUACCGGAGAAUGUUAUCACGGGAGACACACGGCGGGUGCUAACGUCCGUCGUGAAGAGGGAAACAACCCAGACCGCCAGCUAAGGUCCCAAAGUCAUGGUUAAGUGGGAAACGAUGUGGGAAGGCCCAGACAGCCAGGAUGUUGGCUUAGAAGCAGCCAUCAUUUAAAGAAAGCGUAAUAGCUCACUGGUCGAGUCGGCCUGCGCGGAAGAUGUAACGGGGCUAAACCAUGCACCGAAGCUGCGGCAGCGACGCUUAUGCGUUGUUGGGUAGGGGAGCGUUCUGUAAGCCUGUGAAGGUGUGUCGUGAGGCAUGCUGGAGGUAUCAGAAGUGCGAAUGCUGACAUAAGUAACGAUAAAGCGGGUGAAAAGCCCGCUCGCCGGAAGACCAAGGGUUCCUGUCCAACGUUAAUCGGGGCAGGGUGAGUCGACCCCUAAGGCGAGGCCGAAAGGCGUAGUCGAUGGGAAACGGGUUAAUAUUCCCGUACUUGGUGUUACUGCGAAGGGGGGACGGAGAAGGCUAUGUUGGCCGGGCGACGGUUGUCCCGGUUUAAGCGUGUAGGUGUGUGUUCCAGGUAAAUCCGGUUCACUUUAACACUGAGGCGUGACGACGAGGCACUACGGUGCUGAAGCAACAAAUGCCCUGCUUCCAGGAAAAGCCUCUAAGCAUCAGGUAACAUCAAAUCGUACCCCAAACCGACACAGGUGGUCAGGUAGAGAAUACCAAGGCGCUUGAGAGAACUCGGGUGAAGGAACUAGGCAAAAUGGUGCCGUAACUUCGGGAGAAGGCACGCUGACACGUAGGUGAAGUGAUUUACUCAUGGAGCUGAAGUCAGUCGAAGAUACCAGCUGGCUGCAACUGUUUAUUAAAAACACAGCACUGUGCAAACACGAAAGUGGACGUAUACGGUGUGACGCCUGCCCGGUGCCGGAAGGUUAAUUGAUGGGGUCAGCGCAAGCGAAGCUCCUGAUCGAAGCCCCGGUAAACGGCGGCCGUAACUAUAACGGUCCUAAGGUAGCGAAAUUCCUUGUCGGGUAAGUUCCGACCUGCACGAAUGGCGUAAUGAUGGCCAGGCUGUCUCCACCCGAGACUCAGUGAAAUUGAACUCGCUGUGAAGAUGCAGUGUACCCGCGGCAAGACGGAAAGACCCCGUGAACCUUUACUAUAGCUUGACACUGAACAUUGAGCCUUGAUGUGUAGGAUAGGUGGGAGGCUUUGAAGUGUGGACGCCAGUCUGCAUGGAGCCGACCUUGAAAUACCACCCUUUAAUGUUUGAUGUUCUAACGUGGACCCGUAAUCCGGGUUGCGGACAGUGUCUGGUGGGUAGUUUGACUGGGGCGGUCUCCUCCUAAAGAGUAACGGAGGAGCACGAAGGUUGGCUAAUCCUGGUCGGACAUCAGGAGGUUAGUGCAAUGGCAUAAGC
rnacentral:rRNA from 1 species